rnacentral:lncRNA from 1 species
GUGCACCAAAAACCAAGGCGAGAGCACGGGGAGACAGAGGAGCACCUCGCGAACCCACCUAGACGAACUAUUCGAGCCGAAGAGGAGUAGAGAGAGCCGGGCGCGCGUCACGGCGGAGGUUUCUUUCGGCAAGAUCCACACUUGACGCAAACGAUUGCUAGGGCUGGGAUAGAGCGCUUGGGUGGGGAAAAGAGAUGCGGGGGAAGGUCCUUGGCCUUUAUAGAGUCUCAGAUCGCGAAAAAGGGCAAGAAAUCGCGGAAUAGAUGGAGUCGGUUUCCCCCCGGUGGAGCCCUGUUCGUCCACGGCACAAGGAAGGAGAAGAAGACGCUGACAAGUGGGCCCGUGCGGUCAGAGGAAGGAAGGAUAGGUCCCGGCUGUCAGCUGAGAAAAGGGGAGGGGAAAGCGCCUGCGCGGCAGAGUUGGGCUGCGGCUGCUGGGCCGAGCUCGCGAUGCGGGAGGGGAUUGCUGGGCCGAACCGCGGAUGGGCCGCGGUCGCGAGCGAGGGGGGGAAAACAGGCCUUCAGGCCGAAACCUGAGAGAGAGAGGUUUUGUUUUUUUUUAUUUUUUUUUCUAUUUACCUUUCUUUUAUUCCAAAGCCAUUUUCAAAACCGUUUGAAAAAAAUCACUUUGAAUUAUUUUUCAACUUUAGUAAAACCAAUCAUCUCAAUAAAUCAUAUGCACGAGCAUGAAGACACAACCAUGUUACUAAUCCUAUGAUAAGUUUUAUUUUAACGAAAAGUAUUAUUUUUCUAUGUUUCAUGAGCACAAAAAUACAAAAUUAAAUCAUUUUUCACCUAUUUCAAAAGUUGCAAAUUUUUUUUGGGUGUUACAAUUCUACCCCCCUUAAAAGAAUCUCGUCCUCGAGAUUGAGCAGUGUAUAAAUAAAGCACUGUGGAUUUGAUUCUCUCCAAUCCUCUUCUCUUUCCCAAGUUGUUUCUCCUUGUGAAUGCCAAUCCCAUUGCACUAGCAAAUUCAAUGUCUCUAGUCAAGUAACAUACCUGAUAACUUAUCUGAAAAUUUAUUCCCUACACAGUCCUGAAGAUCAACACCAUCAUCCUCUAAAUGAUUCACUGUGGCUGUGGGUGGAGCUUGUACUGCUACGUCCACACUGAUUCUCUCUCCCUUGGGUGUGGUCACAACUACUACUUUCUCCUUGCACUUAAUUUCCGUAGCAUAUUUCUUCAUCCAAUCCAAACCCAAUAUCACAUCUAUGCCUGAGGUUCUCAUAACCAUGGGACUAACAGGGAAAUCUACCCCCCUUAAAGAAAGACUUGCUGAGGGGCAACAAUAUGAAACUGGUAUAGUCCCUCCCGGUGAGUUUACUAGCAUAUGGGUUUUCAGGGCAACUAGUGGUAUGCUAUGAGCUCUAACAAAUGCUUGUGAUAUGAAUGUAUGCGAAGCUCCAGAAUCAAAUAAAACUGUAGCGGGAAUAGAGUUGAUACUGAACGUACCCAUCAUAAUCUCCGGUCCCUCUUGAACUGUCUCCGCAGCCGCAUGGUUCACCUUUGCUCCAUGAGAAUUAGACUUUUGAUUGUUGUUCCGCUGGUUGAAUCUCUCCGGGCAAUCAUAUGACAUAUGACCUUCUUUCCCACAGCGAAAACACCUAGUAGGGGUAUUGGGAGCACUUCUCUUCAUAGAGGUGGCAUUUGAAUCUCCGGAGCGGGAAGUCUGCUGUCCACUCUGUUGAUGAUUAGGAUUACGCUGAGAUUGUUGGUUGCGAUCCCAUUGACUAACUGGUCCCUGGUACCUCUGUUGAUUGCUCUGCUGAGAAUUGAAACGUUGGCGGUUGUUGCCUCCAGAACCUUGGGCUAACAUUCUUCUCUUCUUAUCUUGACCUUUACGCAUGUUAUCCAACACAAUAGCACGGUUCACCAGAGCCUGGAAUGUAGGGUAGGUAUUUCCAGCCAGUUGCAAUCUGAGUUCAUAGUAAAGACCUUUCAUGAAGAGACGUUGUUUGUCAGCAUCUUCUCUGACUUCGUUUGGAGCAUAGCGAGCCAACUGCUCAAACAUGUCAUGAUACUCAGCCACAGACAUAGAACCCAUCCUAAGAGAUCUGAAUUCUUCCUGCUUGAGCUCCAUCAUUCCUUCAUUGAUGUGUCGUGCUCGGAAGUCUCUGCAAAAUUCUAACCAAGUGACAGGAGGAGCAUUGUUGGGACGAGCAGCUUGAUAUGACUCCCACCAUGUUUGGGCUGCUCCCUGAAGCUGUCCAGAUGCAUACAACACCUUCUCCAAAUCAUUGCACUGUGCUAUGUUCAGUUGCCUCUCCACAGCACGUAACCAAUCAUCUGCCUCCAUGGGAUCAGCCGAGUGUGUAAAGACUGGGGGUCUCCCCUUCAUAAACUCUCCACGCUUGUCUCUCACGUGAACAGGUGGUGGUGUUGGUGGAGGUUGUUGUUGUAGGUGUUGCAUGAAGACGUGCAUCAUCUGAUUCUGAGUUUGCAUAAGUUCCUCCACAGUAAUUGGGGCAUUGUCACCAUUGCCACGGCCUCUGCCUCUGCCUCUUCCCCUUGCUGCCAUCUGCAUUCCAAAGUAUAUAAACACAUCUUAGUAAUGUCCAUCAUGACAAUUACAAGAGUUAACCCAAUCUGAAAUUUUCUGGGUAACAUCCAACAUCAGCAGAUCAGAAAAUCAGUAAUAUCUCGAGUUCCAGAAUUCAAAAGGAUACAUGCUGUACACCGUUGGAAAGAUAAAGAAAUUGUCUACAACUUUCAUUUAGAUCAUAUUACCAGAUUCCAACGUGAGGUUAACCAAAAACUGGGUACAACCGAAACUGUUCCAGAAUUCCAGACUGCGCAGAAACCUCAACUUGGAACAGUCAUAACUCUCAGCUCAUAAUCGAUGAUAUGGUCAUUCUUGCGGCAUUGGAAGGAUAUGGAAGUCUACUUGUUCCCAGAAAAAUUUGAUGGACAUUGCAUGAACAGAUUUUGAGAUGUACCAGAUUCAUUGCAGACUGCUCCAUAAAACAGCAGAGGGCAGAAACAGAAUUUUAACCAACCCCAACUAUUUAGUUCAUUAAUCCUUAUGCCUUAAGCCUAUAAACUAAAUGAAAUUGUAGAGGAAAUCCACAAGAUCAUUGCACUCAUUACAAAGAUCCAAAUCAAGCAUAAGCAUAAUAACAAACCAAUCCAAGCAUCAAAGGUUCACAUUUCAGGCAUUAACUCAACUUGCGGUACUAUCGUUCUCUUCCUAUUAAGGGCAAAGAUUCCUAAAAUUCUCUUUCAACUAUGUAAGCAGGUGGUAAGAGAAGGUUCUAAAAGCAUAUUCAAAGCAAGGAGUGGUGAUGAGAACAAGUCUUUUAAAAUAAGCAACAAGGUGAAGAUGAAUAGGAUAUAGUGUGGAAGAAAAUAUCAAGGUCUAUAGAGCAAGGAUUUUAUAGCAAUUUCAAAACCUUAAGAUGACCAAUUUCUAACUAGGCUUGCAUCCGACAGUCAACAAAGCUCUAAUACCAAUUUGUCACACCCAUAUUUUAAGAACAAAAUAGGAUGCAUAAAAGACUCAUAUGUGCCCCAGGAAUAGUCGCACACAUAAGUAGACAAAUCUCAAAUGUACCAUUGCAGUGUUUAUUACAUAGCGGAAUAUAUAUUGAAUCACAUAGUCUCAUACAAAAAUGAUAGCAUAAAGUAAACAACGCUCUCGACGGAAGCUCCACACAGGGACACUGUUGACUGGUUGACUCCAAACCUAGUACUCAUACCGAUAAUCCUCAUUCCAGUCAUCUUCAUUAUCAUACCCUGAGGUGUUGGGAAAUUGCAAGAGUGAGCACAUAUCGUACUCAACAAGUAUAACCAGGGGUUCAUGAGGCUCAAAUAGCUGACACUGGUUUGACUGCAUUUAGCUUUUAAUAGUGGAUAGCAUGUUCAUAAUUAAAUAGCAAUUGUCAAGGAAGCAUAAAUAAUUCAUUAAUCCCAUGAUCAUGUGUAAGCAUAAUUAAUCCAUAGCAUAAACGAUAAUCAAAUGAACAUAACAACUUAAUAAGCUCAUCGUCGGCGCAGCAAGAACCCCCAAGGCCGCUCAUAACCGUGAGCACGGCUAGUAUACCAGUUUUACACUCUGCAGAGGUUGUACAUCUUUACCCAUGAGUCAUGAUUUACCCUUUCGCCCGAGGCCCGUCGACCUCUUAACCCACUACCAAGGAAGGUCGGCAGGGAUCACUAUGAAGCCUUUCAAAAGUUCGUCUAACAUGUUAGGGCCGCAAGGUUUCCUUUGCGCGCAGAUAUAGAUACCCCCCUUCCAAAUGGCACAAUGACGCGCAGCCUAUACACAUAAGGACAGGGGCUCGCACUAUACCCAAAACGGUUCAGCCCCUCCGCCCUUUCGGGUAACCGCUAACAAGCUAGAAAAGUUCUUCAUACUGAGCUAAAGCCAGAGCCAUUAUAGCCCUCAUGGUUGCACUGUUGUCCCGGUGAUCACUUACAGACAAGAUCUCAUACAGUUAUUUGUCAUUCUUUUAUGUUCAUUGCAUAUCUAUUAAUCAUCUUACAAGAUCAUGGAUUAUAUCAAGCACUAGCACAUCUAUACCAAAUGCAUAUCAAGUAGGUAGCAAGGAAUCCAGGUAACAAUCAUCUAUGAUUUUGCUAAGGUCGACAAGGUGAUAGCAUGCAUAUGAUAUAUAUGUGGUUAUAAGUGAAUAGGUAACAAGGAUAAUCCCAAGUUAUACUUGCCUUGACCAAAGCUCUCCUGAGCCCGCUGGUCUUCAAAAGCUUGGUCUUGAUCACCAACGUACAGCUCACCGUCUAUUCCCAAACAUCAAUCAACAACACGCAAUCCAAUGGAGACAAUCAUACACAAAGCAAACAAGGUAUAAUUAGAACAUUACACCAAACAGUGGUAAAACAAAUAUAAAAGUUUAUCAAAAUAUUCUACGCAGCGCUACGAUCACACAAACGUAAAGUUCACGAAAAUCGGAAUUAAAACGAGUAAGAUAUGAAUUUUCUAAGAUUUCCUAUAGAGAAAUAAUUAAUUAAAUGCUACUGCAGAAAUAAAAGGUUUCAAAACAGUGAAUAAAUACUACUAACAUGUAGAGCGCGUAAUUAUGAAUCUAACUAAAUUUGAAUGGAUCAAAUCGGAUUUAAAAUGAGCAUUUUAUAAGCAAAACAAUUCCAAUGGCAAAUCUGUAAAUAGUGAAAGCGUAUUUCUGACUAAAGCCGAGCUGUUUACGUUUUCCGAAAUAGAAAGCGUAUUCCCCAUGGGCGCCAAGGGACGGCGGGUUUAAUACCGAAAACUCCAGGGUCUCUUUAACAAGAUUUACCCCGAAGGGGUAAGUUCUAAUCUUGGCCGCUGAUCCUCGAUCUGACGGCUGGGAGCGCUCGGGGUGAACUCUGGCUUGCCGGCGGCGAGCCCCCCCCACGGCGGACGCCAUGGCCGGCGUCCAAGCUUCGCCGGAGCUAGCCGUUUACGCGAUUCCGUGCACCAAAAACCAAGGCGAGAGCACGGGGAGACAGAGGAGCACCUCGCGAACCCACCUAGACGAACUAUUCGAGCCGAAGAGGAGUAGAGAGAGCCGGGCGCGCGUCACGGCGGAGGUUUCUUUCGGCGAGAUCCACACUUGACGCAAACGAUUGCUAGGGCUGGGAUAGAGCGCUUGGGUGGGGAAAAGAGAUGCGGGGGAAGGUCCUUGGCCUUUAUAGAGUCUCAGAUCGCGAAAAAGGGCAAGAAAUCGCGGAAUAGAUGGAGUCGGUUUCCCCCCGGUGGAGCCCUGUUCGUCCACGGCACAAGGAAGGAGAAGAACACGCUGACAAGUGGGCCCGUGCGGUCAGAGGAAGGAAGGAUGGGUCCCGGCUGUCAGCUGAGAAAAGGGGAGGGGAAAGCGCCUGCGCGGCAGAGUUGGGCUGCGGCUGCUGGGCCGAGCUCGCGAUGCGGGAGGGGAUUGCUGGGCCGAACCGCGGAUGGGCCGCGGCCGCGAGCGAGGGGGGGAAAACAGGCCUUCAGGCCGAAACCUGAGAGAGAGAGAGGUUUUGUUUUUUUUAUUUUUUUUUCUAUUUCCCUUUCUUUUAUUCCAAAGCCAUUUUCAAAACCGUUUGAAAAAAAUCACUUUGAAUUAUUUUUCAACUUUAGUAAAACCAAUCAUCUCAAUAAAUCAUAUGCACGAGCAUGAAGACACAACCAUGUUACUAAUCCUAUGAUAAGUUUUAUUUUAACGAAAAGUAUUAUUUUUCUAUGUUUCAUGAGCAUAAAAAUACAAAAUUAAAUCAUUUUUCACCUAUUUCAAAAGUUGCAAAUUUUUUUUGGGUGUUACAAUUCUACCCCCCUUAAAAGAAUCUCGUCCUCGAGAUUGAGCAGUGUAUAAAUAAAGCACUGUGGAUUUGAUUCUCUCCAAUCCUCUUCUCUUUCCCAAGUUGUUUCUCCUUGUGAAUGCCAAUCCCAUUGCACUAGCAAAUUCAAUGUCUCUAGUCAAGUAACAUACCUGAUAACUUAUCUGAAAAUUUAUUCCCUACACAGUCCUGAAGAUCAACACCAUCAUCCUCUAAAUGAUUCACUGUGGCUGUGGGUGGAGCUUGUACUGCUACGUCCACACUGAUUCUCUCUCCCUUGGGUGUGGUCACAACUACUACUUUCUCCUUGCACUUAAUUUCCGUAGCAUAUUUCUUCAUCCAAUCCAAACCCAAUAUCACAUCUAUGCCUGAGGUUCUCAUAACCAUGGGACUAACAGGGAAAUCUACCCCCCUUAAAGAAAGACUUGCUGAGGGGCAACAAUAUGAAACUGGUAUAGUCCCUCCCGGUGAGUUUACUAGCAUAUGGGUUUUCAGGGCAACUAGUGGUAUGCUAUGAGCUCUAACAAAUGCUUGUGAUAUGAAUGUAUGCGAAGCUCCAGAAUCAAAUAAAACUGUAGCGGGAAUAGAGUUGAUACUGAACGUACCCAUCAUAAUCUCCGGUCCCUCUUGAACUGUCUCCGCAGCCACAUGGUUCACCUUUGCUCCAUGAGAAUUAGACUUUUGAUUGUUGUUCCGCUGGUUGAAUCUCUCCGGGCAAUCAUAUGACAUAUGACCUUCUUUCCCACAGCGAAAACACCUAGUAGGGGUAUUGGGAGCACUUCUCUUCAUAGAGGUGGCAUUUGAAUCUCCGGAGCGGGAAGUCUGCUGUCCACUCUGUUGAUGAUUAGGAUUACGCUGAGAUUGUUGGUUGCGAUCCCAUUGACUAACUGGUCCCUGGUACCUCUGUUGAUUGCUCUGCUGAGAAUUGAAACGUUGGCGGUUGUUGCCUCCAGAACCUUGGGCUAACAUUCUUCUCUUCUUAUCUUGACCUUUACGCAUGUUAUCCAACACAAUAGCACGGUUCACCAGAGCCUGGAAUGUAGGGUAGGUAUUUCCAGCCAGUUGCAAUCUGAGUUCAUAGUAAAGACCUUUCAUGAAGAGACAUUGUUUGUCAGCAUCUUCUCUGACUUCGUUUGGAGCAUAGCGAGCCAACUGCUCAAACAUGUCAUGAUACUCAGCCACAGACAUAGAACCCAUCCUAAGAGAUCUGAAUUCUUCCUGCUUGAGCUCCAUCAUUCCUUCAUUGAUGUGUCGUGCUCGGAAGUCUCUGCAAAAUUCUAACCAAGUGACAGGAGGAGCAUUGUUGGGACGAGCAGCUUGAUAUGACUCCCACCAUGUUUGGGCUGCUCCCUGAAGCUGUCCAGAUGCAUACAACACCUUCUCCAAAUCAUUGCACUGUGCUAUGUUCAGUUGCCUCUCCACGGCACGUAACCAAUCAUCUGCCUCCAUGGGAUCAGCUGAGUGUGUAAAGACUGGGGGUCUCCCCUUCAUAAACUCUCCACGCUUGUCUCUCACGUGAACAGGUGGUGGUGUUGGUGGAGGUUGUUGUUGUAGGUGUUGCAUGAAGACGUGCAUCAUCUGAUUCUGAGUUUGCAUAAGUUCCUCCACAGUAAUUGGGGCAUUGUCACCAUUGCCACGGCCUCUGCCUCUGCCUCUUCCCCUUGCUGCCAUCUGCAUUCCAAAGUAUAUAAACACAUCUUAGUAAUGUCCAUCAUGACAAUUACAAGAGUUAACCCAAUCUGAAAUUUUCUGGGUAACAUCCAACAUCAGCAGAUCAGAAAAUCAGUAAUAUCUCGAGUUCCAGAAUUCAAAAGGAUACAUGCUGUACACCGUUGGAAAGAUAAAGAAAUUGUCUACAACUUUCAUUUAGAUCAUAUUACCAGAUUCCAACGUGAGGUUAACCAAAAACUGGGUACAACCGAAACUGUUCCAGAAUUCCAGACUGCGCAGAAACCUCAACUUGGAACAGUCAUAACUCUCAGCUCAUAAUCGAUGAUAUGGUCAUUCUUGUGGCAUUGGAAGGAUAUGGAAGUCUACUUGUUCCCAGAAAAAUUUGAUGGACAUUGCAUGAACAGAUUUUGAGAUGUACCAGAUUCAUUGCAGACUGCUCCAUAAAACAGCAAAGGGCAGAAACAGAAUUUUAACCAACCCCAACUAUUUAGUUCAUUAAUCCUUAUGCCUUAAGCCUAUAAACUAAAUGAAAUUGUAGAGGAAAUCCACAAGAUCAUUGCACUCAUUACAAAGAUCCAAAUCAAGCAUAAGCAUAAUAACAAACCAAUCCAAGCAUCAAAGGUUCACAUUUCAGGCAUUAACUCAACUUGCGGUACUAUCGUUCUCUUCCUAUUAAGGGCAAAGAUUCCUAAAAUUCUCUUUCAACUAUGUAAGCAGGUGGUAAGAGAAGGUUCUAAAAGCAUAUUCAAAGCAAGGAGUGGUGAUGAGAACAAGUCUUUUAAAAUAAGCAACAAGGUGAAGAUGAAUAGGAUAUAGUGUGGAAGAAAAUAUCAAGGUCUAUAGAGCAAGGAUUUUAUAGCAAUUUCAAAACCUUAAGACGACCAAUUUCUAACUAGGCUUGCGUCCGACAGUCAACAAAGCUCUGAUACCAAUUUGUCACACCCAUAUUUUAAGAACAAAAUAGGAUGCAUAAAAGACUCAUAUGUGCCCCAGGAAUAGUCGCACACAUAAGUAGACAAAUCUCAAAUGUACCAUUGCAGUGUUUAUUACAUAGCGGAAUAUAUAUUGAAUCACAUAGUCUCAUACAAAAAUGAUAGCAUAAAGUAAACAACGCUCUCGACGGAAGCUCCACACAGGGACACUGUUGACUGGUUGACUCCAAACCUAGUACUCAUACCGAUAAUCCUCAUUCCAGUCAUCUUCAUUAUCAUACCCUGAGGUGUUGGGAAAUUGCAAGAGUGAGCACAUAUCGUACUCAACAAGUAUAACCAGGGGUUCAUGAGGCUCAAAUAGCUGACACUGGUUUGACUGCAUUUAGCUUUUAAUAGUGGAUAGCAUGUUCAUAAUUAAAUAGCAAUUGUCAAGGAAGCAUAAAUAAUUCAUUAAUCCCAUGAUCAUGUGUAAGCAUAAUUAAUCCAUAGCAUAAACGAUAAUCAAAUGAACAUAACAACUUAAUAAGCUCAUCGUCGGCGCAGCAAGAACCCCCAAGGCCGCUCAUAACCGUGAGCACGGCUAGUAUACCAGUUUUACACUCUGCAGAGGUUGUACAUCUUUACCCAUGAGUCAUGAUUUACCCUUUCGCCCGAGGCCCGUCGACCUCUUAACCCACUACCAAGGAAGGUCGGCAGGGAUCACUAUGAAGCCUUUCAAAAGUUCGUCUAACAUGUUAGGGCCGCAAGGUUUCCUUUGCGCGCAGAUAUAGAUACCCCCCUUCCAAAUGGCACAAUGACGCGCAGCCUAUACACAUAAGGACAGGGGCUCGCACUAUACCCAAAACGGUUCAGCCCCUCCGCCCUUUCGGGUAACCGCUAACAAGCUAGAAAAGUUCUUCAUACUGAGCUAAAGCCAGAGCCAUUAUAGCCCUCAUGGUUGCACUGUUGUCCCGGUGAUCACUUACAGACAAGAUCUCAUACAGUUAUUUGUCAUUCUUUUAUGUUCAUUGCAUAUCUAUUAAUCAUCUUACAAGAUCAUGGAUUAUAUCAAGCACUAGCACAUCUAUACCAAAUGCAUAUCAAGUAGGUAGCAAGGAAUCCAGGUAACAAUGAUCCAUGAUUUUGCUAAGGUCGACAAGGUGAUAGCAUGCAUAUGAUAUAUAUGUGGUUAUAAGUGAAUAGGUAACAAGGAUAAUCCCAAGUUAUACUUGCCUUGACCAAAGCUCUCCUGAGCCCGCUGGUCUUCAAAAGCUUGGUCUUGAUCACCAACGUACAGCUCACCGUCUAUUCCCAAACAUCAAUCAACAACACGCAAUCCAAUGGAGACAAUCAUACACAAAGCAAACAAGGUAUAAUUAGAACAUUACACCAAACAGUGGUAAAACAAAUAUAAAAGUUUAUCAAAAUAUUCUACGCAGCGCUACGAUCACACAAACGUAAAGUUCACGAAAAUCGGAAUUAAAACGAGUAAGAUAUGAAUUUUCUAAGAUUUCCUAUAGAGAAAUAAUUAAUUAAAUGCUACUGCAGAAAUAAAAGGUUUCAAAACAGUGAAUAAAUACUACUAACAUGUAGAGCGCGUAAUUAUGAAUCUAACUAAAUUUGAAUGGAUCAAAUCGGAUUUAAAAUGAGCAUUUUAUAAGCAAAACAAUUCUAAUGGCAAAUCUGUAAAUAGUGAAAGCGUAUUUCUGACUAAAGCCGAGCUGUUUACGUUUUCCGAAAUAGAAAGCGUAUUCCCCAUGGGCGCCAAGGGACGGCGGGUUUAAUACCGAAAACUCCAGGGUCUCUUUAACAAGAUUUACCCCGAAGGGGUAAGUUCUAAUCUUGGCCGCUGAUCCUCGAUGUGACGGCUGGGAGCGCUCGGGGUGAACUCUGGCUUGCCGGCGGCGAGCCCCCCCCACGGCGGACGCCAUGGCCGGCGUCCAAGCUUCGCCGGAGCUAGCCGUUUACGCGAUUCCGUGCACCAAAAACCAAGGCGAGAGCACGGGGAGACAGAGGAGCACCUCGCGAACCCACCUAGACGAACUAUUCGAGCCGAAGAGGAGUAGAGAGAACCGGGCGCGCGUCACGGCGGAGGUUUCUUUCGGCGAGAUCCACACUUGACGCAAACGAUUGCUAGGGCUGGGAUAGAGCGCUUGGGUGGGGAAAAGAGAUGCGGGGGAAGGUCCUUGGCCUUUAUAGAGUCUCAGAUCGCGAAAAAGGGCAAGAAAUCGCGGAAUAGAUGGAGUCGGUUUCCCCCCGGUGGAGCCCUGUUCGUCCACGGCACAAGGAAGGAGAAGAAGACGCUGACAAGUGGGCCCGUGCGGUCAGAGGAAGGAAGGAUGGGUCCCCGCUGUCAGCUGAGAAAAGGGGAGGGGAAAGCGCCUGCGCGGCAGAGUUGGGCUGCGGCUGCUGGGCCGAGCUCGCGAUGCGGGAGGGGAUUGCUGGGCCGAACCGCGGAUGGGCCGCGGCCGCGAGCGAGGGGGGAAAACAAGCCUUCAGGCCGAAACCUGAGAGAGAGAGAGGUUUUGUUUUUUUUAUUUUUUUUUCUAUUUCCCUUUCUUUUAUUCCAAAGCCAUUUUCAAAACCGUUUGAAAAAAAUCACUUUGAAUUAUUUUUUAACUUUAGUAAAACCAAUCAUCUCAAUAAAUCAUAUGCACGAGCAUGAAGACACAACCAUGUUACUAAUCCUAUGAUAAGUUUUAUUUUAACGAAAAGUAUUAUUUUUCUAUGUUUCAUGAGCACAAAAAUACAAAAUUAAAUCAUUUUUCACCUAUUUCAAAAGUUGCAAAUUUUUUUUGGGUGUUACAAUUCUACCCCCCUUAAAAGAAUCUCGUCCUCGAGAUUGAGCAGUGUAUAAAUAAAGCACUGUGGAUUUGAUUCUCUCCAAUCCUCUUCUCUUUCCCAAGUUGUUUCUCCUUGUGAAUGCCAAUCCCAUUGCACUAGCAAAUUCAAUGUCUCUAGUCAAGUAACAUACCUGAUAACUUAUCUGAAAAUUUAUUCCCUACACAGUCCUGAAGAUCAACACCAUCAUCCUCUAAAUGAUUCACUGUGGCUGUGGGUGGAGCUUGUACUGCUACGUCCACACUGAUUCUCUCUCCCUUGGGUGUGGUCACAACUACUACUUUCUCCUUGCACUUAAUUUCCGUAGCAUAUUUCUUCAUCCAAUCCAAACCCAAUAUCACAUCUAUGCCUGAGGUUCUCAUAACCAUGGGACUAACAGGGAAAUCUACCCCCCUUAAAAAAAAGACUUGCUGAGGGGCAACAAUAUGAAACUGGUAUAGUCCCUCCCGGUGAGUUUACUAGCAUAUGGGUUUUCAGGGCAACUAGUGGUAUGCUAUGAGCUCUAACAAAUGCUUGUGAUAUGAAUGUAUGCGAAGCUCCAGAAUCAAAUAAAACUGUAGCGGGAAUAGAGUUGAUACUGAACGUACCCAUCAUAAUCUCCGGUCCCUCUUGAACUGUCUCCGCAGCCGCAUGGUUCACCUUUGCUCCAUGAGAAUUAGACUUUUGAUUGUUGUUCCGCUGGUUGAAUCUCUCCGGGCAAUCAUAUGACAUAUGACCUUCUUUCCCACAGCGAAAACACCUAGUAGGGGUAUUGGGAGCACUUCUCUUCAUAGAGGUGGCAUUUGAAUCUCCGGAGCGGGAAGUCUGCUGUCCACUCUGUUGAUGAUUAGGAUUACGCUGAGAUUGUUGGUUGCGAUCCCAUUGACUAACUGGUCCCUGGUACCUCUGUUGAUUGCUCUGCUGAGAAUUGAAACGUUGGCGGUUGUUGCCUCCAGAACCUUGGGCUAACAUUCUUCUCUUCUUAUCUUGACCUUUACGCAUGUUAUCCAACACAAUAGCACGGUUCACCAGAGCCUGGAAUGUAGGGUAGGUAUUUCCAGCCAGUUGCAAUCUGAGUUCAUAGUAAAGACCUUUCAUGAAGAGACGUUGUUUGUCAGCAUCUUCUCUGACUUCGUUUGGAGCAUAGCGAGCCAACUGCUCAAACAUGUCAUGAUACUCAGCCACAGACAUAGAACCCAUCCUAAGAGAUCUGAAUUCUUCCUGCUUGAGCUCCAUCAUUCCUUCAUUGAUGUGUCGUGCUCGGAAGUCUCUGCAAAAUUCUAACCAAGUGACAGGAGGAGCAUUGUUGGGACGAGCAGCUUGAUAUGACUCCCACCAUGUUUGGGCUGCUCCCUGAAGCUGUCCAGAUGCAUACAACACCUUCUCCAAAUCAUUGCACUGUGCUAUGUUCAGUUGCCUCUCCACGGCACGUAACCAAUCAUCUGCCUCCAUGGGAUCAGCUGAGUGUGUAAAGACUGGGGGUCUCCCCUUCAUAAACUCUCCACGCUUGUCUCUCACGUGAACAGGUGGUGGUGUUGGUGGAGGUUGUUGUUGUAGGUGUUGCAUGAAGACGUGCAUCAUCUGAUUCUGAGUUUGCAUAAGUUCCUCCACAGUAAUUGGGGCAUUGUCACCAUUGCCACGGCCUCUGCCUCUGCCUCUUCCCCUUGCUGCCAUCUGCAUUCCAAAGUAUAUAAACACAUCUUAGUAAUGUCCAUCAUGACAAUUACAAGAGUUAACCGAAUCUGAAAUUUUCUGGGUAACAUCCGACAUCAGCAGAUCAGAAAAUCAGUAAUAUCUCGAGUUCCAGAAUUCAAAAGGAUACAUGCUGUACACCGUUGGAAAGAUAAAGAAAUUGUCUACAACUUUCAUUUAGAUCAUAUUACCAGAUUCCAACGUGAGGUUAACCAAAAACUGGGUACAACCGAAACUGUUCCAGAAUUCCAGACUGCGCAGAAACCUCAACUUGGAACAGUCAUAACUCUCAGCUCAUAAUCGAUGAUAUGGUCAUUCUUGCGGCAUUGGAAGGAUAUGGAAGUCUACUUGUUCCCAGAAAAAUUUGAUGGACAUUGCAUGAACAGAUUUUGAGAUGUACCAGAUUCAUUGCAGACUGCUCCAUAAAACAGCAGAGGGCAGAAACAGAAUUUUAACCAACCCCAACUAUUUAGUUCAUUAAUCCUUAUGCCUUAAGCCUAUAAACUAAAUGAAAUUGUAGAGGAAAUCCACAAGAUCAUUGCACUCAUUACAAAGAUCCAAAUCAAGCAUAAGCAUAAUAACAAACCAAUCCAAGCAUCAAAGGUUCACAUUUCAGGCAUUAACUCAACUUGCGGUACUAUCGUUCUCUUCCUAUUAAGGGCAAAGAUUCCUAAAAUUCUCUUUCAACUAUGUAAGCAGGUGGUAAGAGAAGGUUCUAAAAGCAUAUUCAAAUCAAGGAGUGGUGAUGAGAACAAGUCUUUUAAAAUAAGCAACAAGGUGAAGAUGAAUAGGAUAUAGUGUGGAAGAAAAUAUCAAGGUCUAUAGAGCAAGGAUUUUAUAGCAAUUUCAAAACCUUAAGAUGACCAAUUUCUAACUAGGCUUGCGUCCGACAGUCAACAAAGCUCUGAUACCAAUUUGUCACACCCAUAUUUUAAGAACAAAAUAGGAUGCAUAAAAGACUCAUAUGUGCCCCAGGAAUAGUCGCACACAUAAGUAGACAAAUCUCAAAUGUACCAUUGCAGUGUUUAUUACAUAGCGGAAUAUAUAUUGAAUCACAUAGUCUCAUACAAAAAUGAUAGCAUAAAGUAAACAACGCUCUCGACGGAAGCUCCACACAGGGACACUGUUGACUGGUUGACUCCAAACCUAGUACUCAUACCGAUAAUCCUCAUUCCAGUCAUCUUCAUUAUCAUACCCUGAGGUGUUGGGAAAUUGCAAGAGUGAGCACAUAUCGUACUCAACAAGUAUAACCAGGGGUUCAUGAGGCUCAAAUAGCUGACACUGGUUUGACUGCAUUUAGCUUUUAAUAGUGGAUAGCAUGUUCAUAAUUAAAUAGCAAUUGUCAAGGAAGCAUAAAUAAUUCAUUAAUCCCAUGAUCAUGUGUAAGCAUAAUUAAUCCAUAGCAUAAACGAUAAUCAAAUGAACAUAACAACUUAAUAAGCUCAUCAUCGGCGCAGCAAGAACCCCCAAGGCCGCUCAUAACCGUGAGCACGGCUAGUAUACCAGUUUUACACUCUGCAGAGGUUGUACAUCUUUACCCAUGAGUCAUGAUUUACCCUUUCGCCCGAGGCCCGUCGACCUCUUAACCCACUACCAAGGAAGGUCGGCAGGGAUCACUAUGAAGCCUUUCAAAAGUUCGUCUAACAUGUUAGGGCCGCAAGGUUUCCUUUGCGCGCAGAUAUAGAUACCCCCCUUCCAAAUGGCACAAUGACGCGCAGCCUAUACACAUAAGGACAGGGGCUCGCACUAUACCCAAAACGGUUCAGCCCCUCCGCCCUUUCGGGUAACCGCUAACAAGCUAGAAAAGUUCUUCAUACUGAGCUAAAGCCAGAGCCAUUAUAGCCCUCAUGGUUGCACUGUUGUCCCGGUGAUCACUUACAGACAAGAUCUCAUACAGUUAUUUGUCAUUCUUUUAUGUUCAUUGCAUAUCUAUUAAUCAUCUUACAAGAUCAUGGAUUAUAUCAAGCACUAGCACAUCUAUACCAAAUGCAUAUCAAGUAGGUAGCAAGGAAUCCAGGUAACAAUGAUCCAUGAUUUUGCUAAGGUCGACAAGGUGAUAGCAUGCAUAUGAUAUAUAUGUGGUUAUAAGUGAAUAGGUAACAAGGAUAAUCCCAAGUUAUACUUGCCUUGACCAAAGCUCUCCUGAGCCCGCUGGUCUUCAAAAGCUUGGUCUUGAUCACCAACGUACAGCUCACCGUCUAUUCCCAAACAUCAAUCAACAACACGCAAUCCAAUGGAGACAAUCAUACACAAAGCAAACAAGGUAUAAUUAGAACAUUACACCAAACAGUGGUAAAACAAAUAUAAAAGUUUAUCAAAAUAUUCUACGCAGCGCUACGAUCACACAAACGUAAAGUUCACGAAAAUCGGAAUUAAAACGAGUAAGAUAUGAAUUUUCUAAGAUUUCCUAUAGAGAAAUAAUUAAUUAAAUGCUACUGCAGAAAUAAAAGGUUUCAAAACAGUGAAUAAAUACUACUAACAUGUAGAGCGCGUAAUUAUGAAUCUAACUAAAUUUGAAUGGAUCAAAUCGGAUUUAAAAUGAGCAUUUUAUAAGCAAAACAAUUCUAAUGGCAAAUCUGUAAAUAGUGAAAGCGUAUUUCUGACUAAAGCCGAGCUGUUUACGUUUUCCGAAAUAGAAAGCGUAUUCCCCAUGGGCGCCAAGGGACGGCGGGUUUAAUACCGAAAACUCCAGGGUCUCUUUAACAAGAUUUACCCCGAAGGGGUAAGUUCUAAUCUUGGCCGCUGAUCCUCGAUGUGACGGCUGGGAGCGCUCGGGGUGAACUCUGGCUUGCCGGCGGCGAGCCCCCCCCCACGGCGGACGCCAUGGCCGGCGUCCAAGCUUCGCCGGAGCUAGCCGUUUACGCGAUUCCGUGCACCAAAAACCAAGGCGAGAGCACGGGGAGACAGAGGAGCACCUCGCGAACCCACCUAGACGAACUAUUCGAGCCGAAGAGGAGUAGAGAGAGCCGGGCGCGCGUCACGGCGGAGGUUUCUUUCGGCGAGAUCCACACUUGACGCAAACGAUUGCUAGGGCUGGGAUAGAGCGCUUGGGUGGGGAAAAGAGAUGCGGGGGAAGGUCCUUGGCCUUUAUAGAGUCUCAGAUCGCGAAAAAGGGCAAGAAAUCGCGGAAUAGAUGGAGUCGGUUUCCCCCCGGUGGAGCCCUGUUCGUCCACGGCACAAGGAAGGAGAAGAAGACGCUGACAAGUGGGCCCGUGCGGUCAGAGGAAGGAAGGAUAGGUCCCGGCUGUCAGCUGAGAAAAGGGGAGGGGAAAGCGCCUGCGCGGCAGAGUUGGGCUGCGGCUGCUGGGCCGAGCUCGCGAUGCGGGAGGGGAUUGCUGGGCCGAACCGCGGAUGGGCCGCGGUCGCGAGCGAGGGGGGGAAAACAGGCCUUCAGGCCGAAACCUGAGAGAGAGAGGUUUUGUUUUUUUUUAUUUUUUUUUCUAUUUCCCUUUCUUUUAUUCCAAAGCCAUUUUCAAAACCGUUUGAAAAAAAUCACUUUGAAUUAUUUUUCAACUUUAGUAAAACCAAUCAUCUCAAUAAAUCAUAUGCACGAGCAUGAAGACACAACCAUGUUACUAAUCCUAUGAUAAGUUUUAUUUUAACGAAAAGUAUUAUUUUUCUAUGUUUCAUGAGCACAAAAAUACAAAAUUAAAUCAUUUUUCACCUAUUUCAAAAGUUGCAAAUUUUUUUUGGGUGUUACAAAAAUAUUUUUGUAGGUCUUAUUCAGGGGAAGGUGUAAUGAACGACGUCUAGGAAUAUGAAGUAAACAAAAUCAAUCACAAGGAAGACACACGAUUUACGUGGAAAACCCCUUCAAUGCGAAGGGGAAAAACCACAGGCACCAGCCGGCAACAAUCUCACUAUCUCAAGAGUUUUGGGUUAUACGCCUAUGGUGGCUUACAAGAGAAUCAAGUCUCCAUGAAACCCUAGCAAGGGCAUAUAUACCGUACCGCUACGCUCCGGCCCAAGCCUCCGGCGAUGAGCCUCUGCUUCGCUCCGUCAGAAGCCCGACCAAUAUCCUGAAGUAAAUUUGGAACAACUCCAACAAACUCCACCUUGAGACAAAUUCAUCUUGUAUCAUAAAUCAACCCUUCAUCCUGAACACAACAAAGAUAGAAAACCACUGGUGCCAACCAUAGUCUCUUGGACUAUCUAAUUAAACCAACUAAGCUUGAGCAUAGCUCAAACUUAGCAACAGGAACUGCCUUUGUCAUCAUAUCAGCAGGAUUAUCAUGAGUACUAAUCUUGCAUACCUUUAGCUUACCAUCUUCAAUCACAUCACGCACAAAAUGAUACUUGAUAUCUAUGUGCUUAGUUCUCUCAUGGAACAUCUGAUCUUUAGUGAGGUAAAUUGCACUUUGACUGUCACAGUGCAAACUUAUGCAAGAUUCAUCUCCACAAAACUCAGUGUACAAAUCUUUCAGCCAUAUUAAUUCUUUGCAUGCUUCACAAAUAGCCAUAUAUUUUGCUUCAGUAGUAGACAAAGCAACAACAGACUGUAAAGUAGCCCUCCAACUCACAGCACAACUGCCAACAGUAAACACAUAACCAAUAAGUGAUCUUCACCUAUCCAGAUCAGCAGCAUAAUCAUAAUCCACAUAACCAAUAAGGCCCUUGUCAGUUCUUCCAAACUUUAAACAGGAAUCUGCUAUGCCUCUGAGGUACCUGAAAAUCCACUGAACUGCCCUCCAAUGUUCUUUGCCAGGAUUAGACAUAUAUCUACUAAUAAGACUCAUAGCAUAUGACAAAUCUGGACGAGAGCAAACCAUGGCAUACAUCAAAGACCCAACAACACUAGAAUAAGGAACCCUUGACAUGUACUCAAUCUCUGCAUCUGUACUAGGACACUGAGCAGCUGACAACUUAAAGUGAGGUGCAAUAGGGGUACUAACAGCCUUAGCAUUUUGCAUGUUGAAACGCUGAAGAACUUUCUUGAUAUAAUUUUGUUGACUAAGAAAUAGCAAACCAG